AAAAACUUGGUUGAAUCUUACCAGGCUUUUGAAAAAGCUGCCAAUGCAUUUACUCAAGAGUUUCGCAACUGGGAAUCUGCUUGGGCUUUGGAAGCCCUUUAUGUGAUUGCCUAUGAAACUAGAAUUCUAGCAGAAAGGGCAGAUAGAGAGUUGGCUUCUAAUGGAAAAACUCCUGAGAAGUUGAAAGGGGCUGGCUCAUUUCUCAUGAAA
rnacentral:misc_RNA from 1 species